GCUAGCAAUGCACGCCUGUGGUUCAGCCGGCUAGUCUUGUGAGUUGUCGUGUGGCGGAUCCGAAUGGACCGCCCGCGGCGUCUUCGCUGGGCGAGCUGUGGUGCACUCCAUGGACGUGCGCGUCAGCGUCGGUUUCCGACGAGCGAUGAGGUGCGUGGGGGAAGGUAGCUCGGUUCUUCGGAGCGGAGUGUUACAGACCCUGGUGCUGGGCUCGUCGUGGGACCGAGGAGAGAGAUGAUCGCUGCGGCACCUGCCUCUCGGGGCUAGCCAGCCGUUGUCAGAUGUGCGUCAGGCGUUGAGGACUGCACGCAGUGCUCGAUGUUUUUUUGGCGUGGUCUGGUGGUGGUGUGGGCAUAGAGGUGCCUAGGACGCUGGCGUCCAAAUGGCCGUGCGCGACCCGUCUUGAAACACGGACCAAGGAGUCUAACAUGUGCGCGAGUCUUAGGGUGUGCAAGCCCUCGGGCGCAAUGAAAGUGAAGGUUCGGCAUUAGUCGAGCUGAGGUGAGAGCCGUUGCUGGCCUGACUGCUACGGCGGCGCAUCAUCGGCCGGUCCAUCCUGCUCUCAGGAGGAUCCGAGCAAGAGCGUAUUUGUUGGGACCCGAAAGAUGGUGAACUAUGCCUGAAUAGGGUGAAGCCAGAGGAAACUCUGGUGGAGGCUCGUAGGGAUUCUAACGUGCAAAUUGAUCUCAAAAUUUGGGUAUAGGGGCGAAAGACUAAUCGAACCAUCUAGUAGCUGGUUCCCUCCGAAGUUUCCCUCAGGAUAGCUGGAACUCGUCAACACAGUUUUAUCAGGUAAAGCGAAUGAUUAGAGGUCUUGGGGGUGAAACACCCUCAACCUAUUCUCAAACUUUAAAUCGGUAAGAAGCGCGACUUGCUUAAUUGAAGCCGCGCAGCCAAUGUGAGUUCCAAGUGGGCCAUUUUUGGUAAGCAGAACUGGCGAUGCGGGAUGAACCGAACGCUCGGUUAAGGUGCCCAAGUCGACGCUCAUCAGACCCCAGAAAAGGUGUUGGUUGAUAUAGACAGCAGGACGGUGGCCAUGGAAGUCGGAAUCCGCUAAGGAGUGUGUAACAACUCACCUGCCGAAUCAACUAGCCCUGAAAAUGGAUGGCGCUCAAGCGUCGCACCUAUACCGGGCCGUCGUCGUAAAUGCCAGGCGACGACGAGUAGGAGGGCGCGGUGGUCGUGAUGCAGCCCUUGGCGUGAGCCUGGGUCAAACGGCCUCUGGUGCAGAUCUUGGUGGUAGUAGCAAAUAUUCAAAUGAGAGCUUUGAAGACCGAAGUGGAGAAAGGUUCCAUGUGAACAGCAGUUGGACAUGGGUUAGUCGAUCCUAAGAGAUAGGGAAGUUCCGUAUCAACGUGCGCAAUCGGUCUUGUGCCGCCUUGCGCCAACCUAUCGAAAGGGAAUCGGGUUAAUAUUCCCGAACCGGAAUGCGGAUAUAUUCCCUGGCUCUCGGGCCAGGAGCGGCAACGCUAGCGAACCGCGAGACGUCGGCGGGGGCUCCGGGAAGAGUUGUCUUUUCUUUUUAACGCAGUCGCCAUCCCUGGAAUCGGUUUGCCCGGAGAUAGGGUUGGCUGGCUCGGUAAAGCAGCACACUUCAUGUGCUGUCCGGUGCGCUCUCGACGGCCCUUGAAAAUCGCGGGGGUGUACUGAUUUUCGCAUCCGGUCGUACUCAUAACCGCAUCAGGUCUCCGAGGU
rnacentral:rRNA from 1 species